rnacentral:rRNA from 1 species
UACGUAGGGUGCAAGCGUUGUCCGGAAUUACUGGGCGUAAAGAGCUCGUAGGCGGUUUGGCGCGUCGUCUGUGAAAACUCGAGGCUCAACCUCGAGCUUGCAGGCGAUACGGGCAGACUUGAGUACUGCAGGGGAGACUGGAAUUCCUGGUGUAGCGGUGAAAUGCGCAGAUAUCAGGAGGAACACCGGUGGCGAAGGCGGGUCUCUGGGCAGUAACUGACGCUGAGGAGCGAAAGCCAGGGGAGCAAACGGG